GACGAACCGUGCGAACGUUGUUCGGAUUCACUGGGCUUAAAGGGCGCGUAGGCGGGCAGGCAAGUCAGGGGUGAAAUCUUUCGGCUUAACCGGAAAAGUGCCUCUGAUACUGCGUGCCUCGAGGGAGGUAGGGGCGUGUGGAACUUCCGGUGGAGCGGUGAAAUGCGUAGAUAUCGGAAGGAACGCCGGUGGCGAAAGCGACGCGCUGGACCUCUUCUGACGCUGAGGCGCGAAAGCCAGGGGAGCAAACGGG
rnacentral:rRNA from 1 species